rnacentral:lncRNA from 1 species
UGACAGACCUUUUGUGGCAAAUUUAGCGACAGAAACCGAAAAGCCAAGAAUGUUAGCGGCGGAUAAGAAAUUGCAGCUUUGGACCUAACCCUGAUGGAAUUAAUAGCGGCAGUCCCACAUCGGAUUAUGUAAUAUUUUUAGCGGCAAGGUUACCGUCAAUAAAGCUCAGUAUUUCCCCCCAUGAAAAACUAUUUUUGCUCUAGUACCAAU